rnacentral:rRNA from 1 species
UACGAAGGGGGCUAGCGUUGUUCGGAAUUACUGGGCGUAAAGCGCGCGCAGGCGGUCUUCCAAGUCAGUGGUGAAAGCCCGGAGCUCAACUCCGGAACUGCCAUUGAAACUGUAAGACUUGAGGACGAGAGAGGUGAGUGGAAUUCCCAGUGUAGAGGUGAAAUUCGUAGAUAUUGGGAGGAACACCGGUGGCGAAGGCGACCGCCUGGACGAUGACUGACGCUGAGGCGCGAGAGCGUGGGGAGCAAACAGG